rnacentral:misc_RNA from 1 species
GUACCCUCAAGCUCUGCUUGGUGUUGGGUGUUUGUCUCGCCAUUGCGCGUGGACUCGCCUUAAAGCAAUUGGCAGCCGGCAAAAGCCUGGGAGCGCAGCACAUGCGUUGCUUUCAGACUGCUUGUCGAGCGUCCAGCAAGCCUAUUAUUCUUGC